rnacentral:rRNA from 1 species
AUUGAACGCUGGCGGCAGGCCUAACACAUGCAAGUCGGACGGUAGCACAGAGGAGCUUGCUCCUCGGGUGACGAGUGGCGGACGGGUGAGUAAUGUCUGGGGAUCUGCCCGGUAGAGGGGGAUAACCACUGGAAACGGUGGCUAAUACCGCAUAACGUCGCAAGACCAAAGAGGGGGACCUUCGGGCCUCUCACUGUCGGAUGAACCCAGAUGGGAUUAGCUAGUAGGCGGGGUAACGGCCCACCUAGGCGACGAUCCCUAGCUGGUCUGAGAGGAUGACCAGCCACACUGGAACUGAGACACGGUCCAGACUCCUACGGGAGGCAGCAGUGGGGAAUAUUGCACAAUGGGCGCAAGCCUGAUGCAGCCAUGCCGCGUGUAUGAAGAAGGCCUUCGGGUUGUAAAGUACUUUCAGCGGGGAGGAAGGCGAUGUGGUUAAUAACCGCGUCGAUUGACGUUACCCGCAGAAGAAGCACCGGCUAACUCCGUGCCAGCAGCCGCAGUAA